rnacentral:tRNA from 1 species
UUUAGAGUUUAAUAAAUUCUUGCUUACAACAAGGAGUUCUUUAACUCUCUUU